AAAAAAAAACCUAAAAUGCUAUUGAAAUUAAACAUGUUAAAUAUAAAAAUGUUUAAACACCGUUCUUUAACAGCUUAAGCUUUUAGAGUACAACGAUUGUUUCACAUGGUAUCAGAGCAGGAGGUCCUGAGUUCGAGUCACGUCAGGCUCCUAGUAUAUUAAUUUCCUCCCAUUUAAUUCAAGCCCACGUCAUGGGCCGAUUAAAAAGUUUCGAGCCCAGACGUGAGGGGAAGUGUUAAAUAUAAAAAUGUUUAAACACCGUUCUUUAACAGCUUAAGCUUUUAGAGUACAACGAUUGUUUCACAAAACAUAAUCAUUUUCAAGGUAGAGCGUACGAAUUGACUUUCAACACCAUUAAAUACGAUUUAAAUUAUGUAAACUUUAUAGAAUAAAAUUUUAUAAUUUUUAUCUUUUUUUUUUAGCCCUAUUAGUAAAUUAUGUCUACAAAUUACGAAAUAUAAUUAUCAGUCAUAUCGUCAAUUUAGAAGCUACAUCACUAAUAGGGCUACAAAAAAAUAGGAU
rnacentral:lncRNA from 1 species